UCCUGGUUAACAUCAAAAUGGUAUCUAUCUAUUUUAUACUGUGUAUUAGUAUAUGUGGUCAGUUUGGAAAGGUGACAUCAAACGACAAUGACAAGAAGAUUUGUGUAUCCGAAGACUUUAUGAGAUCGAUGAUGAGAGAAACUGCAAAGACUCCGAGCCUGCUCAUAAAGAUAGACCUGUAUUUUUUGCAUCUCUGAAAACGCACCCAUUUACUCUUAAUGGAAUACAUGAUGUAGUAAAGUUCGAUGACGUCAGGAUAAACAGGGGUAAUGGGUAUAACCCUUCCACUGGAGUAUUUAC